CGGGCCGUGGCGCAGCUUGGUAGCGCGCCUGCUUUGGGAGCAGGAGGUCGCCGGUUCGAGUCCGGCCGGCCCGA
rnacentral:tRNA from 1 species